UUUUGAAGGGGUUGUCUUCUUCCAGGCAUUGAUUCUCUGCUGCUCAAAUGCAGAAUAAAAGUCAAGAUGCAUCUCUGACUCUGGUUGGGUGCUGAUAGUUUCCGGCAUCCUGUUUUCCACAUUGUAGAGAUGACAUUUCUGACAGUAUCUGUGCCUUUGUCCAGUGAGGUGUGGUCUUUUGGAUCCUGAAAGACAUUUUGGUGAAAGGGAAAAAGUGAUCGAGAUUUAUGACAGACCGUGCUGCAGGAGUGUACCUUGUUCAGUCGAUAUUCACAUGUAAUGGGAUGUAGAGGUGCAACCCCCCUCAACACAAAAUGAAGUCUCCCCUAACUGUCAUAAGGUGCAGUGCGUCAACAGUGCCUAUCUGAAACUCUUUACGUCCAGUACCAAGGGCAACGGCUGAGGGCUUUCAUCGCGAUACUCACACCUCUCCCUAGCACAGACGCUGUGGGAUGGUUGUCGAGACCUAGCGGUCUAUCCUACAACCGGUGUUCCCCAUGCCUGGCGGGUUUGACUUUGUCCCGCCAUUGAUUGAUUAAAUCCUUUUUGUAAACCCUUUAACCCGCAGGAAUCACCGUGUUUUUGUUUUCUUGCAUUGGCCGCCGGCUUGUUUUGGCGCCCGCUGAUGUUAUCAGAAACAAGCCUGCACUCAUGUGCAUCCAUGUAAUCUCUUGGUGUCCGAGAAACACUGAUGUCCUCUUUCACAAGCGGUAAACGUUUCUGGAAAAGAGCUUUUAAUGAAUUCUGAAAUGCGGAGAGAAAUGUACAGAAAGAAAGUUGUUUGGAGAAGCUAUCCACGAUGAACCAUUACCAAAUAUCAGUGCUGUGUGUGUGACAACAAAUGGCACGUACAAUCAGCAGCUCGUGAACCCUGUCGUUUGCGUGACAGACAUACAAGACGAUCCAGUUAUCAAGCUUGUCUAACACGAUGACCCUGUAAUAAGAGGAAGGGUUUGGGGGACGCGAUUACAGAUUAGUGGUUCGAACUUCGCCAAGAUCUUUUCGAUCUCAGGUCAACCUCCUCAAGCUGAGAGGUGCCAUUUAGAAGCCAGACCGCAGGAGAUUGACGAUCGAGGCAUUUGUGAGGUCGAGCGUUUUCUCUCUCCCACCCGUGUUUGCCCUUUUCUAACAUGGGCGUUAAGAAUUUACACGCGCGCGUGCACACACACACACAGGGAGAGAGAGAGAUGAGGAUGUUGCUCCAUGACAUGGACGCCGCACUAAACAAUCAAAUCACAUUUUUACAAAGUUUUUCUGCAAAUGUGUAAUGAAAGCUUUCUCAGAGACGAUUAACGCUGACAACGUAAUGUUCUUUCAAUGAUGACACAUAAUAUGUAGGGUGGGCGCACAUGCUAACGGUGUGCUAAAUGUCCCUCGAUCUACUGCUCGAAAAAAAAUUAAUUAAAUUCAUUUUCUAUUGUUAGUAAUGUUAACAAUGGGCGACUGCUGUCCAACAAGCGUUUCCUGCGACUUACAAGCUGAUUGCCAUUUUUAAACACACCUAUUAUCACACUCGCUUCCAACAACAACCCCUUCCGACUAUAGCUGGUCCCAUAACUGUCACCCCGCGCACUAUGGAGGUAUUUAUUAGUUCCAGAUCUGGAGAAGCUGUUUCAAGAGGAACAAAAGGUUCACGAAGUGCAUGAGGGAAAAUGAAAACAGGCGAUGUAUGAGAGCACUUGAUCCCACCUCCCCAUCACACUUCUGGUGUCACUCCCCGACCACCACCACACAUACAAAGUGCCCACUGUUCACUCGUGCCUUCACCUGGCAAUUAAUACAGCGAACCCGUUAAAACACCGAUAUAUGACGUCACAAGGUAUUCACGUUGCACGUCGUUCUCUCGUUCAUUUCCUCCCCACUCUAGUCCACACCCAAUAAAUAAAUCUGAACAGUUCUCAAAAACAACAACAAUGACAAAAAAAUGCAGCUUUGUCCAGAUACUUCUGUAUCCGAGAUCGCGAAAGUGAAUAGACAGGGACUGGUUAAUGUUUCCCAGCCCUCUUCGAAAAAUUUAACACGAAACUUGAUAAUUACGGAGUGCGAAUGUAGUUCCCGGCCUACCCAUG
rnacentral:lncRNA from 1 species